AACGAACGCUGGCGGCAGGCCUAACACAUGCAAGUCGAACGCCGUAGCAAUACGGAGUGGCAGACGGGUGAGUAACACGUGGGAACGUACCUUUCGGUUCGGAAUAACUCAGGGAAACUUGAGCUAAUACCGGAUACGUGCGAGAGCAGAAAGAUUUAUCGCCGAAAGAUCGGCCCGCGUCCGAUUAGCUAGUUGGUGAGGUAAUGGCUCACCAAGGCGACGAUCGGUAGCUGGUCUGAGAGGAUGAUCAGCCACACUGGGACUGAGACACGGCCCAGACUCCUACGGGAGGCAGCAGUGGGGAAUAUUGGACAAUGGGCGCAAGCCUGAUCCAGCCAUGCCGCGUGAGUGAUGAAGGCCCUAGGGUUGUAAAGCUCUUCGCCAGGGACGAUAAUGACGGUACCUGGAUAAGAAGCCCCGGCUAACUUCGUG
rnacentral:rRNA from 1 species